GAUUAAGUUAUUAAGGGCGCACGGUGGAUGCCUUGGCACUAGAAGCCGAAGAAGGACGUUACUAACGACGAUAUGCUUUGGGUAGCUGUAAGUAAGCGUUGAUCCAGAGAUUUCCGAAUGGGGGAACCCAACAUGAGUUAUGUCAUGUUAUCGACAUGUGAAUUCAUAGCAUGUCAGAAGGCAGACCCGGAGAACUGAAACAUCUUAGUACCCGGAGGAAGAGAAAGAAAAAUCGAUUCCCUGAGUAGCGGCGAGCGAAACGGGAAGAGCCCAAACCAACAAGCUUGCUUGUUGGGGUUGUAGGACACUCUAUACGGAGUUACAAAAGAACAUGUUAGACGAAUCAUCUGGAAAGAUGAAUCAAAGAAGGUAAUAAUCCUGUAGUCGAAAACAUAUUCUCUCUUGAGUGGAUCCUGAGUACGACGGAGCACGUGAAAUUCCGUCGGAAUCUAGGAGGACCAUCUCCUAAGGCUAAAUACUCUCUAGUGACCGAUAGUGAACCAGUACCGUGAGGGAAAGGUGAAAAGUACCCCGGAAGGGGAGUGAAAGAGAACUUGAAACCGUGUGCUUACAAGUAGUCAGAGCCCGUUUAUGGGUGAUGGCGUGCCUUUUGUAGAAUGAACCGGCGAGUUACGAUCUGAUGCAAGGUUAAGCAGCGAAUGUGGAGCCGUAGCGAAAGCGAGUCUGAAUAGGGCGUUGAGUAUUUGGUCGUAGACCCGAAACCAGGUGAUCUACCCUUGGUCAGGUUGAAGUUCAGGUAACACUGAAUGGAGGACCGAACCGACUUACGUUGAAAAGUGAGCGGAUGAACUGAGGGUAGCGGAGAAAUUCCAAUCGAACUUGGAGAUAGCUGGUUCUCUCCGAAAUAGCUUUAGGGCUAGCCUCAAGUGAUGAUUAUUGGAGGUAGAGCACUGUUUGGACGAGGGGCCCCUCUCGGGUUACCGAAUUCAGACAAACUCCGAAUGCCAAUCAAUUUAACUUGGGAGUCAGAACAUGGGUGAUAAGGUCCGUGUUCGAAAGGGAAACAGCCCAGACCACCAGCUAAGGUCCCAAAAUAUAUGUUAAGUGGAAAAGGAUGUGGCGUUGCCCAGACAACUAGGAUGUUGGCUUAGAAGCAGCCAUCAUUUAAAGAGUGCGUAAUAGCUCACUAGUCGAGUGACACUGCGCCGAAAAUGUACCGGGGCUAAACAUAUUACCGAAGCUGUGGAUUGUCCUUCGGACAAUGGUAGGAGAGCGUUCUAAGGGCGUUGAAGCAUGAUCGCAAGGACAUGUGGAGCGCUUAGAAGUGAGAAUGCCGGUGUGAGUAGCGAAAGACGGGUGAGAAUCCCGUCCACCGAUUGACUAAGGUUUCCAGAGGAAGGCUCGUCCGCUCUGGGUUAGUCGGGUCCUAAGCUGAGGCCGACAGGCGUAGGCGAUGGAUAACAGGUUGAUAUUCCUGUACCACCUAGUAUCGUUUUAAUCGAUGGGGGGACGCAGUAGGAUAGGCGAAGCGUGCUGUUGGAGUGCACGUCCAAGCAGUAAGGCUGAGUGUUAGGCAAAUCCGGCACUCGUUAGGCUGAGCUGUGAUGGGGAGAGGAAAUUGUUUCCUCGAGUCGUUGAUUUCACACUGCCGAGAAAAGCCUCUAGAUAGAUAACAGGUGCCCGUACCGCAAACCGACACAGGUAGUCAAGAUGAGAAUUCUAAGGUGAGCGAGCGAACUCUCGUUAAGGAACUCGGCAAAAUGACCCCGUAACUUCGGGAGAAGGGGUGCUCUUUAGGGUUCACGCCCAGAAGAGCCGCAGUGAAUAGGCCCAAGCGACUGUUUAUCAAAAACACAGGUCUCUGCUAAACCGUAAGGUGAUGUAUAGGGGCUGACGCCUGCCCGGUGCUGGAAGGUUAAGAGGAGUGGUUAGCUUCUGCGAAGCCACGAAUCGAAGCCCCAGUAAACGGCGGCCGUAACUAUAACGGUCCUAAGGUAGCGAAAUUCCUUGUCGGGUAAGUUCCGACCCGCACGAAAGGCGUAACGAUUUGGGCACUGUCUCAACGAGAGACUCGGUGAAAUCAUAGUACCUGUGAAGAUGCAGGUUACCCGCGACAGGACGGAAAGACCCCGUGGAGCUUUACUGUAGCCUGAUAUUGAAAUUCGGCACAGCUUGUACAGGAUAGGUAGGAGCCAUUGAAACGUGAGCGCUAGCUUACGUGGAGGCGUUGGUGGGAUACUACCCUAGCUGUGUUGGCUUUCUAACCCGCACCACUUAUCGUGGUGGGAGACAGUGUCAGGCGGGCAGUUUGACUGGGGCGGUCGCCUCCUAAAAGGUAACGGAGGCGCUCAAAGGUUCCCUCAGAAUGGUUGGAAAUCAUUCACAGAGUGUAAAGGCAUAAGGGAGCUUGACUGCGAGAC
rnacentral:rRNA from 1 species